AAAACGUGUAGGGAAAUUUGGGGACACCCGAUAUCUUCUGCCUUCACUACUACAUAACGCAGAACAAUGGUUAUUUUUGUCUUUCAUAAAGAUAUCCGGACGUGCAUUUCAGACACCUGAGAUUAAAAAGAAAUUUGACAAUUCAAUCAAUAUGCAUUCACCAGCAGAAUGUCCAUGAUACUUUGCUAUAGAAUCAUAUGACAAUCACCUGUGGCAAAGUUUUGAUAGUAUGCACAUGGAUUGGAUAUGUUAAUUAGAGGAGAUUGAUGGUGAGAUAUUUGCAAUUGAUGCACCAUAAUGCAUUAUUUUUGAAUAAUUAUGCAUACAUGGAGAGCUAAGUAAUAAGAGUUCAGAUUAAGAAAGAGAAAUCUCGUGUUAGCUUUAGACUCUGCCUUAAAUCCUCAUUUCCAAUAAAAUGACUUGAACCAUUUAAAUGUUGUAAAUCUUUAGAAGUAGUGAACCAUUUUGCUUAUAUAAACCAAACAAUAACGAAAAUUACUCUGCGCCAAAGACGCAACAGCCAGCUAUGAACAAUCUUAGAUCCAAUAAACCAUAACCUAAAA